rnacentral:rRNA from 1 species
AUGGCUAUUCUAGAUAAGCAAGAUGAAGAUGAUGAUUUUCAUGGACAUGAUGAAAGCCUGAGGCAUGAGAUAGAUAGUGUUAGUCAAGUGAUUUAUCGUACCAUGAGGGAUAUCACAUUUGUAAUGAUUUUUCUUAAUGGGGGUGAUGAUGAAAUUGACGUAGGUCUCAUGGGUAUUCCUCUAGGAAGAUAUGACAGCAAGAACAACAGGGUGAUAUGGACCUUCAACAGAAGCUGCCUGAGCAUGCAUCACGACCAUUCCGAGGUAGCAAAAAAGCUAACAUAUACUCAGCUUUUCUGUUAUUGCGAUAUCAAACUAUUGACAAGCUCACAGUUUCUUGGACUGCUACAUCAACAAGCUGCUUCCAUCGUUGCUCGCAACCCCUGUAUGCUGGACAUCAACCCAACAAUUCUUGUAGAUUGCUGUCUCUAUGAGUUAUUCCUGCAUUAUGAUUUCCACACGGCCAGUAAAUUUGAUUGGGUUUCUCAUGAUUCCAACUAUUGGACAUGCGAUGCAAUCAUACAAGGGGACAGAGCAAGGGAUAUUUGUAAUGCAUUCUAUCGAGAGAUAAAUUGGAAGUGUGAUGCUUCUCUGCUUGAGGAUGUUCUUACAGAGUGUAUGAAACAAUUGGAGUGUCCGUUUCUGGUAAUCAAAGAUGAUGAUAUCUAUGAAGAAGGCCCGUACCGUUGGAUUUCAGUCACAUGGAGGAAUACAGAACUUCUUGGUAUGCAAACUAUACCUGCAAUGACAAAAUCUUUCUUCUUGGCCUUUGAAAGAUCUGACCAUCCACAAACUUUACCAAAUGGAUUCUUUGAACAUUCAAGCAAGCUUGGUGUGCUAGUUCUCUGUUGGUGUGCCUUCAGUUUUGCAUCACCCUCUUUCUUGAAGUGCCCUCGACUAAGAUUCCUCGGAUUGGACCACUGUACAGAUAAGAAAACAAUAGGAGACAAUCAUACAGAGUGGUUAUGUUUGUAUAGCUUGUGGGUCCUGGACCUACAAUACACAAACUGGAAUGAAAUCUUAUCCGAAGAAAAGAUGGAUCUCAUGACUAAUGUCAAAGAGCUGAAUAUAGAGGGAGUCAUGGGCUGGCAGUACAUAGCUCACCUACAAUGCCGGUUACUUAACCUCCAGAGGCUCCGAAUAAUCAAACCAACAUGUCAAUGGGAGACAUCGCAGGAUGUUGAUAACUCCUUUACAGAUAAGGCAAGUAUGGAUGCCAUCCGUGGGUGCGCGUGGCAAUGGCGAGAAGAAGCCAGCCGUCGAGAUCGAGAAGGACGUGUGGGACGCUCUGGAGUGGGACGCCGGUCACCGCCCCGACCACUUUGA